ACCCACAUGGUUUCAUUUCAGAAAGUGUGGGUAAAGACAGGUCACCUGGUGUGAGGUCCCUAAUCAAAAGGAAGACUUCAAGGGAAGCUGAAGUAAGCCUUCCAG